GGUACAAUGGGUUGCGAUACUGUGAGGUGGAGCUAAUCCCAAAAAGCCGGUCUCAGUUCGGAUUGGGGUCUGCAACUCGACCCCAUGAAGUCGGAGUCGCUAGUAAUCGCAGAUCAGCAACGCUGCGGUGAAUACGUUCCCGGGCCUUGUACACACCGCCCGUCACACCAUGGAAGCUAGCCAUACCCAAAGUCGUUACCUUAACCUUUUUGGAGGGGGGCGCCUAAGGUAGGGCUAGUGACUGGGGUGAAGUCGGAACAAGGUAGCCCUACUGA
rnacentral:rRNA from 1 species